UACGGAGGGGACUAGCGUUGUUCGGAAUUACUGGGCGUAAAGCGCGCGUAGGCGGAUUUGCAAGUCGGGGGUGAAAGCCCGAGGCUCAACCUCGGAACUGCCCUCGAUACUGCAAAUCUCGAGUCCGGAAGAGGUGAGUGGAAUUCCUAGUGUAGAGGUGAAAUUCGUAGAUAUUAGGAAGAACACCAGUGGCGAAGGCGGCUCACUGGUCCGGUACUGACGCUGAGGUGCGAAAGCGUGGGGAGCAAACAGG
rnacentral:rRNA from 1 species